AAAAAAUUUUCCAUCGUAGCCUAACAUCUCUCUCUAUAUCCAUCUAAAAAAGUUUUCGGCUCUAUUUAUAAACGAAUACCAGAGGCCAGAACGGCUGUACAGGCCUGGAGGAGCUAUGGAAAACGGAUCAAAGAAAUGGGGUUUUCAGGCCGAUAAGGGCCUCAACGCAGCCUCGGCUAUAACAGUUCGUGGAGUUCUCAACGAGUUAAUCGAGAGUCUCAACAAACAAGACCAAAGACCAGUUAUUCCUCUCGGUCACGGCGACCCUUCUGCCUUCCCUUGCUUCCGUACCACUUCUGUUGCCGAAGAUGCCAUUGUCGACGCCUUAAAGUCCGCCAAAUUCAACUGCUAUGCACCGACUGUUGGUAUUCUUACUGCCAGGAGGGCUAUUGCAGAUCACCUUAAUCGUGACCUCCCAUUCAAGUUAUCACCAGAUGAUGUUUUUGUUACACUUGGAUGCACGCAAGCUAUUGAAGUCACAUUAACUGUUCUUGGUCGACCUGGUGCUAACAUUUUGCUUCCAAGACCAGGUUUCCCAUACUAUGAAGCAGUUGCUUCACGAUCUAAUCUUGAGGUUCGCCAUUUUGAUCUUUUGCCAGAAAAAGGCUGGGAGGUUGAUCUUGAAGCUGUUGAGGCUCUGGCAGAUGAGAAUUCUGUUGCCAUGGUUAUAAUAAACCCUGGCAAUCCUUGUGGAAAUGUCUACAGCUACGAACAUUUAAAGGAAGUGGGUAUUUCACUUCUUGUUGAGGUUACAAGUUGGUUAAUAUAACCUUCUGUUAUUAUAUAAUUUCCGCGGUGGUAACUUGUAUUGAUUGCAGAGACAGCUAGAAAGCUUGGAAUUAUGGUGAUUGCUGAUGAAGUAUAUGGGCAUCUUACAUUUGGGAGUACCCCAUAUGUGCCAAUGGGAGUUUUUGGGUCAAUUGUGCCUGUCCUUUCGCUUGGAUCUAUGUCAAAGAGAUGGCUUGUUCCUGGCUGGAGAAUUGGUUGGCUUGUUGCUAUUGAUCCCAAUGGAAUUCUUAAAAGAUCUGGGGUUGUUGAUUCAAUAUGUAGCUGUCUCGACCUCUCCUCAAAUCCUGCAACCUUCAUUCAGGUUUCUGAUUCAUGAUGCUUUUCCUAAAUAAAAUAGUCAUAUUAAAAUAAUUCAAUUAUAUAUAUCUUUCAAUCACUAGUGGAAUUUAUAUUCUUCCUGAAUGUAAUCCCUGGAAUGAGCAAGAGAAUAUUAUCUAUUAAGUGUCACUUCAAAUGCUCUCCUUUAAGUGUCAAGUUCCACAAGGAUUAUUAAAGGAAAUAUUAUAUGUUCCUCCCCUUCUUUGUUCAUGAACAGUAAUUGAGAUAAAUCCUUUUGAAUUUCAGAUUACAUUGCCUUUUGGCUUAGCAUUCAUGUCAGGUUAUCAUGAAAUACAAUAAAUCUUGGCUGUGUAUCAGGGGGCAAUUCCAGAAAUCCUCGAGAACACGAAGAAGGAUUUUUUUUUGAAAAUUAUUAACUUAUUGAGAGAGGCUGUAGACAUAUGCUAUGACAGAAUUCAGGACAAUCCAUACAUUACUUGCACAAAGAAACCAGAAGGUUCUAUGUUUCUGAUGGCAAAACUGAAUUCGUCACUAUUGGAAGGCAUCAAGGAUGAUAUGGACUUCUGUCUCAAGCUGGCUAAAGAGGAAUCCGUCAUAGUUCUACCUGGGAUUGCUGUAGGAAUGAAGAAUUGGAUUCGCAUAAGUUUUGCCAUUGAACCAUCAGCGCUUGAAGAUGGUCUUGGAAGGAUAAAGUCUUUCUGUGAAAGGCAUGCCAAGAAGCAAUAAGGAUUACACCACGACAUGUAGCAGAGUGAUCAGAUCAACAGUAUGGCGUUGAUCCUAAGUCUCAAACUGUAGUCUGUUUAAGCAAUAAAUGUAUUAAAAUAUGAGAAAGUGUGCUUGGAGAUCAACAACUUCGCGUUGGAUCUCAAGGAAAGUCUAAACCCAAGAACUGAAGGGUCAUUGCAUGUCUGUUUGGUUAGCUUGUUAAUUAUUUUCAAUGACAAAAACAAUAUUAGCAAAUUAAACAAAAUUUUCUUUCAGCCCUAUUUGAGCCGGAACUUGAAGGUGAUGCAGAGAAUAAUAUCAUUAUCAUUUCUUUAGGAAGGGACA
rnacentral:misc_RNA from 1 species